GUUCAAGAACAAUCUAAGCAGCAGCAAAUUUGUAGCAUCUCCUUCACGCUGCUGCUGCUGGGUUUAACGUGGACAGGGCAACAUCUUGCCAACUCUUCAUUUUCCUAAAGGCUAAACCGUACCCUCCAAUCGUAGAGAAAAGAUUGAAAAGGAAACCAACACGGGAGAAACGAUGGCCAUUGUUUCUGGGCUUCCGAAACAAUUUUCAGGUUUGGUUUUUCCUCAUGAUUAUAAACAACCAUUUGGGAUGCAGAGAUGUAAUGAAGUCAAAUUUAGUGAUCACGGUGCUGUUCAGCUAGAAUUUAGAAGGGUGAUUCUACCUUUUGCUUCUUCCUUUCAACAGUUUGCUCGUUAAUUUUUAUGCAAAUUGAGUAAACAAUCGCAAGUGGAUUCUUGCUUUUGACUAUUGGAAUUUGAUGUUGUGGAAA